rnacentral:lncRNA from 1 species
GAGAAUGGGGUUCAUUAUUUUGGCAAACAGGAGAGUGGGGUUCAACUGCGGAGAUCCGAGGAUCAUUUGCGAAAGAAAAAUUUCGGGGUUCAAGAAAAUGAAAAAAAGAAGAGAAAAAUUUCGGGGUUCAAGAAAAUGAAAAAAAGAAGAGAAAAAUUUCGGGGUUCAAGAAAAUGAAAAAAGAAGAGAAAAAUUUCGGGGUUCAAGAAAAGCAUAAAAAAAAAGAGAAUAAUAAUCCCGAGCGGAUGUGGUGUUCAAACCAUGGUUAUCCCUGUGUUACCAUUUAUUUUGGUAUCCAGGUCGACGUUUUGGUUUCAAGAUUGUUCUUCGCCGAUUCUGACAGGCGUUGUUAA